UACGUAGGGACCGAGCGUUGUCCGGAAUCAUUGGGCGUAAAGAGCGUGUAGGCGGCCUUUUAAGUCCUGCGUGAAAUCCUGCGGCUCAACCGCAGACGGUCGUGGGAAACUGGAAGGCUAGAGUGCGGGAGAGGAGAGUGGAAUUCCCGGUGUAGCGGUGAAAUUCGUAGAUAUCGGGAGGAACACCAGUGGCGAAGGCGGCGAUCUGGGAAGAUACUGACGCUGAGGUGCGAAAGCGUGGGGAGCAAACAGG
rnacentral:rRNA from 1 species